rnacentral:misc_RNA from 1 species
AACGCACCUUGCGCUCUUUGGUAUUCCGAAGAGCAUGCCUGUUUGAGUGUCAUGAAAAUAUCAACCUCGAUUUGGGUUUUGUGCUCGAGUCUAGGCUUGGAUGUGGGUGUUUGCUGUUUUUACAAGCGGCUCACCUUGAAUGUAUUAGCUGGAUCGGUCUUUGAGACUUGGUUUGACUUGGCGUCAUAAGUAUUUCGCUAAGGACACUCUUGAGGGUGGCCUCGUUUCUGGGAGACACCUGUCCGCUUUCCAAUGCGAGUUCCAGCAAAUGGACAUGACACUAAUUUUUAUCUGGCCUCAAAUCAGGUAGGACUACCCGCUGAACUUAA